rnacentral:piRNA from 1 species
UACAAUUUUUAUUGCUACAAUUGUCUG